GAAGGGGGAGGGGGAGGGGGAGGGUAGGGCAGCUCAGGCCCUUCUGUCUGCUCUGAUCUUCAUGGCCUGAGGACAAGAGCUGCUCCCAGACCUGCGGAGGCCCCUUGGAGCAGAGGGAUGUUUCAGAGAACACCCGGGUGACCUGCCUCCCUGCUCUGCAUGACGCAGCACUAGGCCCCUGUGAGUCCAGCGUCACCCCUGCAAGGUGGGGGGUCACGGCCCCUGCCUGGACGGGCUGCACAGCCCAUCUGUCUUUACUUGGGCCUUCUCUGCUUCCAGAGGCUGCCCUGGGCGCCUGACCCUGGAACCUUCAUCUCCCCCACAGCCCUGGGACCGGCGCCAGCCUGGGGAGGGGUCUCCAUGCUCAGUUCCUUCCCGUCUUGUUCAAAGAGACACUGCCUGCCCACGUGCCAUCAGCAGGAUCCACAACCCUGCCAGGGGCCCCAUGACACGCCCCCGCUGCACAGAGCAUGUGACCCCAGAGGCCACCCUGGCCCGUUCCAGAAAGUGUGGGCCCUGGGAUACUCCCCUCCCAGGGUGUCUGGUGGCCGGCCUAUGCCUAUCCCUGCUGUCCUGGGGUGAGCCCGGAGGUCAGGAGCUCCAGAAGGGCCAGCUGGGCAUAUUCUGGGACUGGCCAUCAGCCCCCAUUUCUGCUGCAGACCUGGUCAGAGCCAGUGUUCCCUCCAUGGGGCCUGAAGACAGUGCCAAGUGCCCGCGCCAUGGACCACAGCUGUGCCGCUGGGCAGCUGGUGACGGUCCCGCGCGGGAGCGCUGUGGACCCCGCUCUCUGGGCAGCCCUGCCCUAGGCCUGGACAGCUGCAGAGCCUGGGACCAUGUGGAUGGGCAGAUCCUGGGCCAGCUGCGGCCCCUGGCAGAGGAGGAAGAGGAGGAGGGCGCCGGGGCCAUGUCGCCCAGGGGGCCUGCCUUCCCCGGCAUGGGCUCUGAAGAGCUGCGUCUGGCCUCCUUCUAUGACUGGCCGCUGACGGCUGGGGUGCGGCCCGAGCUGCUGGCCGCUGCCGGCUUCUUCCACACAGGAAGGGUCUGGCCGGAUGAUGGAGCAGGAGUCCUGCAAGCCCUUCAGUGCCCAUGUGCUCCUGCCUGACACGCUCUCCCGGAGUCUCUGCUGGCCAAGUGUGUCAGACUGUGGGACAUGAGGAGGGGCUGCCUCUGGCCAUGGUCUGGGGGUCUCAGCUGUGGAGGCCACCAGCUUGGUGCGCAAGUACCUUUUUGUGAUAGAAGUGGGUGGGGCUGACAUUGCCUGGGGCCCUCACCGUCCUGCUGCUGGUCUGCACGGGGGGGAGGAGAUGUUUAAGGAACAGGAUCACGGUGACCAAGGCAGGCGUGGUCAGCCGGAAGGUCCUGGCAGCUCAGCCUGUGGGGAAUUUCUUCAGGACCCAACCUGCAGCCACUGUCUGGUCUUCCCCAACUAAAUCAAGUCCCCGGAGUACCUAUCCUCGUCUUGACCUGGGCCCGCUCCUCGGCCCUACAGCUGGGGACCAUGUGGUCAGACCUGAGUUCAGGUCCCAGCUCUGCCACUUCCGGGCUGAAGGACAGGGCAGCAGGGCCCACUGAGGGCUUUACGAGUACUGGCACAGCCAAGGUCAUUGUCAGCAGUGGGCUCUGGGAGGGCACCAUCCUGGUAAGGCUGGACCAACUUAAGACAGCUGGUCGGGGGGGACAGUGGCUGGGACAGUCAGGAGUCGUGGUGUGAAGGGGCAGGCCUGGCUCACCCAACUCCCUGGAGGUCCAAGGCUCAGCAGGUGAAGGUCAGGCAGGAGGCAUGGCAGGUGCAGAGCCAGGGUCUUUGGGGCUGGUCGAGGUCCAGUGCCUGAUGCAGCCCAAACCUGUGAUGUCAGUGGCAGGUGAUAUAUCGCAUGCCUGCCGAUGAGGGGACGGGGCUGUCAGGAGGUAGAGCGAGGAGGGGUCCCCCACCCCUAAAGGGAGGCAUGAGUUCCUAAAACCAAGCCUGGCCCCAGACUGGCCUUCUAGGGCAGCCUCCCUUCUUCCUCUCGCUGGGACUCAUCUUGGGGAAGCAGAGACCUGGGGAGGGGCCCUUCUGGCUCCUGAAGCCUCAGGGCUAUAGAUGUGCCAGGCCCUGGGGGGCCCCCACUGCUUACUCUGGGAACAAUGCAAAUGCCAGCUCAGUCCUUUCCUGAACAUUCUCACCCAUCCUGGCCGGCACCCCAGACACCCUUGUCCCCUUUUCACCUUUGAUGCUAAUGAGGUGCAAGAGUCCUCCCCCACCCAGCCCCCUGCCCACCCCCUCCUCCCUGUUGCCACCUGGGAGCUCCCCUCCAGUUGAAGCUCUCGCAGCCUUGGAAGGACGUACGGGGGGGACAGGGGGCUGGAUGGGGUCUGGCUGGGGCCAGCAUCUCUCCGCACCCCAGGCCAGCAGGACAAGGUGAGGUGCUUCUUCUGCUACGGGGGCCUGCAGAGCUGGAAGCGCGGGGACGACCCCUGGACGGAGCAUGCCAAGUGGUUCCCCAGCUGCCAGUUCCUGCUCCGGUCAAAAGGAAGAGACUUUGUCCACAGCGUGCAGGAGACUCACUCUCAGCUGCUGGGCUCCUGGGACCCGUGGGAAGAACCGGAAGAGGCAGCCCCUGUGGCCCCCUCCGUCCCUGCCCCUGGGGACCCUGAGCUGCCCACGCCCAGAAGAGAGGUCCAGUCUGAAAGCGCCCAGGAGCCAGGAGCCAGGGACGUGGAGGAGCAGCUGCGGCGGCUGCAGGAGGAGAGGACGUGCAAGGUGUGCCUGGACCGUGCCGUGUCCAUCGUCUUCGUGCCAUGCGGCCACCUGGUCUGCGCUGAGUGUGCCCCCAGCCUGCAACUGUGCCCCAUCUGCAGAGCCCCCGU